rnacentral:rRNA from 1 species
CAUUAUUGAAUAAACUUGGUUGGGUUGUUGCUGGCUCUCCGGAGCAAUGUGCACACCUAGCGCCAAUCGUUUAAACCACCUGUGCACCUUUUGUAGACUACGGCGGCGCUUGCGCUUCGUAGUCUAUGUCUUUACAUAAACUCAAUGAAUGUAACAGAAUGAAUUUUCAUUAUUAAAAAAAAUGUUAUACAACUUUCAACAACGGAUCUCUUGGCUCUCGCAUCGAUGAAGAACGCAGCGAAAUGCGAUAAGUAAUGUGAAUUGCAGAAUUCAGUGAAUCAUCGAAUCUUUGAACGCACCUUGCGCUCCUUGGUAUUCCGAGGAGCAUGCCUGUUUGAGUGUCAUUAAAUUCUCAACCCCGAUCGGAUUUGUUUCUGAUUCGGAGGCUUGGAUCGUGGAGCGUGCUGGCCCCUGCCCGGGUCGGCUCCUCUCAAAUGCAUUCGCGGAAUCGACUUUGGUCCGUUUCGGUCAUCAGUGUGAUAACAUGUUGCGCUGUUGGCUAGGAUCGAGGUGCCGCAUACAAUGGUCUUCGGACAAUUCUAUAACAAUUUGACCUCAAAUCAGGUAGGACUACCC